UAAAAAUUUAAAAUAUACAGUUUACCAAAAUUAAAUGUAUAUUCAGUUGAAAUUCAUGUUUCGGGAAAAAAAAGAAUCAAAAAAUGUGUUUAUAACAAUUUCGUUUCGUAUAUAUUUUUUUUGUCCGUGGGAAAAUGUAAAUUUUUUUGUAGUUCAAUCAGAAGUGUAUCAAAAGAGUAAUAAAACGUGUACAAUAACUAUAACAAGAACCAUAACAAGAGCAAGUAAAAAAAAAAAAAAAAAAUGUUAACAAUAAUGACAGAAUAAUAAAGACAAUACACGGAGCACUUAUAAUGAGUUACAAUUACAAUUAUUACUGUUACAAUAUAUUGGCAAGAACAUCUACACUUUUACACACAAAACAAAUACACAAGUCUCAGCCCCGAGAACUGGCGACUCGCUUGGUGUAUUGCGUCUUUGCUGAUAUCUCAUUGAUGUGAUGGUACCACAGAUCCAAGGGUUUGCUGGAUUAGUCGCAUUCAAAUAAUCAUAAAAAUAAAAUACCUAAAAGAAUAUGAAUAAAAACAGCUAAAACAUUAAGACCCACACCGAUAUGCGUUUUAUGACACUAAUACAAUUCAACUCAAUAUUAUGCAACAUGCAACAACAUACAAACCGUAGGACAGAUUGUUUGAAUAUUAGGAAACUGGCACUGUUAAGUCGACAUUUAACAAUAACAUUCAAUUCAAUAUAAUUUAUACUUCGUAGUAGUAGGUAGAGUUUGCUAAAUUCAUUUUCGUAAUGAUAUAGAAAUCGUCAUUCCUCAAGACAUUUAAAGACGCAAUCAAGGGGUUCGCCACUAAGGGGCUGUAGACAGUUUUCGCGCACGGAAUCCAGUUGAACCAAAUGAAGGGUUGCGCGUCUGUGCAGAAUGCCUGAGUUUCAGCUGUUUCUAGUUUCAAAUAAUUGUGUAACUAUGAAUAAAUCCGUGACGUCUUGAA
rnacentral:sRNA from 1 species